rnacentral:rRNA from 1 species
UCUCAGUUCGGAUUGCACUCUGCAACUCGAGUGCAUGAAGUUGGAAUCGCUAGUAAUCGCAGAUCAGCACGCUGCGGUGAAUACGUUCCCGGGCCUUGUACACACCGCCCGUCACACCAUGGGAGUUGGUUUUACCUGAAGGCGGUGCGCUAACCCGCAAGGGAGGCAGCCGACCACGGUAGGAUCAGCGACUGGGGUGAAGUCGUAACAAGGUAGCCGUAGGGGAACCUGCGGCUGGAUCACCUCCUUUCUG